rnacentral:lncRNA from 1 species
UUUAAAAAUGGCUAACUUUAGUAGCUGUUGUUUAACAUCUUCCUUAGUUACUGUUGGAAUGGAAAGUAUUUCAUCACAAUCAUAUGAUAUGAAAAUACCAUUUUACUUUCUUCCCCAAACAUAGAACAGAACUAUUUAUCAAACACACAUCUGCCUUUUCUGUGCAGUUAUUGACAAUGCCACUAUUUCCUCAAGUAAUGGACCAGUUAUCGUUGUAGGAUUUCUCUUGUUCCUAAUGUAUUUAAAAAUUCCUAUGGCAAGCAGAAAUAAAGGACAGUAAGAUUUCUUUGUGUUCUUUUGCUUCUUGUAUUAAGUUUCUACCAUUGCUAACUUGUGAUUUAUGUUAAUUUCUAUUAACUUCCCCCUUUUCCCAUUUGUCAUUAUAACAAAUGGAAAAAAGGGGAACUUGAUUGCCAUUAAUAUAAUUUAUAUAUAAAAUUUUACAGCUGUUUUUACUUCUUCUCUCAGAGUCAGGCUGCUUUCUAAUCAGCGUAGUCUUGCACCUAAACAGUGGCAGAUUUAGAGAGUUAGUGGAGCCCUGUGUGCUCCUAACAAUAGAUUUUAAUAUCAGUGGUGCAGGGCGGCAGAGCCCGCAGAGCCUUGGGCGCGGGGCAGCAGCCAAGACCCUGGGCGGCAGCAGAGCCCUGCAAAAAAUGAGAGGAUACUGCAGCACCCCCGUACCCCUAGUCCCUGGGCCUAUGUUUUGGGGCCCCCUGUUGUUGGGGGCUCCGUGCCACGGCACUGUGUUUCAGGGUAAAUCCGCUCCUGUAAGCAAAUAGCAAUUUUUAGUUAUGUGAUCAAUUCCUCUCCAUUGGUUAAGAUGAAGUCUAAUAUAAUGUUGGAUGCUAUACUUUGAGUUAGGAAACUGUCAUAAUUUUUAGACAUUUAGGGGAACACGAGACCUCCAGUGUGUGUCAUUCAAGCUGAAGUCCCUCAUGAGCACACAGAGCUUUUUUCCCUUCACAUUAUAGAUAGGUGGUCAUCCUGUUCUCUAAUGUGAUUUGAUGGUCUCUAGCAGACACCAGUUAAUACUCCCAUCUUGAGCUUUGUUGGUUAGACCAUCGAUCCAUAAACAUUCAAGAUAAUUUGCUUCCAAACGGUCACUGACUCUCUCCCCCUCUUUGCCCACUUAAACCUUCCUAAAUACGUUAUAACCACUGAUUUUAAUAUUCCAAUGGUGUGACUCACCCCACCAGGUUUAAUUAACACUAACCAGAUCCAAUUUUUUUCUCAUAAAUGAAGCAAUUCCAAUUUUUCUUGUUUAUUAUUCAGGCUCCUAGCGCUGGCGUAUAAGCAAUUACAGA